rnacentral:rRNA from 1 species
AUUGAACGCUAGCGGGAUGCCUUACACAUGCAAGUCGAACGGCAGCACGGACUUCGGUCUGGUGGCGAGUGGCGCACGGGUGAGUAAUGUAUCGGAACGUGCCCAGUAGCGGGGGAUAACUACGCGAAAGCGUAGCUAAUACCGCAUACGCCCUUAGGGGGAAAGCAGGGGAUCGCAAGACCUUGCAAUAUUGGAGCGGCCGAUAUUGGUUUAGCUAGUUGGUGAGGUAAUGGCUCACCAAGGCCGAGAUCCGUAGCUGGUUUGAGAGGACGACCAGCCACACUGGCACUGAGACACGGCCCAGACUCCAACGGGAGGCAGAAGUGGGGAAUUUGGGACAAUGGGGGAAACCCUGAUCCAGCCAUCCCGCGUGUGCGAUGAAGGCCUUCGGGUUGUAAAGCACUUUUGGCAGGAAAGAAACGGCGCGUGCUAAUACCAUGCGCAACUGACGGUACCUGCAGAAUAAGCACCGGCUAACUACGUGCCAGCCGCCGCCGUAA